rnacentral:rRNA from 1 species
UACGGGAGGCAGCAGUGGGGAAUAUUGCACAAUGGGCGCAAGCCUGAUGCAGCCAUGCCGCGUGUAUGAAGAAGGCCUUCGGGUUGUAAAGUACUUUCAGUCGUGAGGAAGGUGUUAAGGUUAAUAACCUUAGCAAUUGACGUUAGCGACAGAAGAAGCGCCGGCUAACUCCGUGCCAGCAGCCGCGGUAAUACGGAGGGUGCGAGCGUUAAUCGGAAUUACUGGGCGUAAAGGGCACGCAGGCGGUUAAUUAAGUUGGAUGUGAAAUCCCCGGGCUUAACCUGGGAAUGGCAUUCAAGACUGGUUAGCUAGAGUCUUGUAGAGGGGGUAGAAUUCCAUGUGUAGCGGUGAAAUGCGUAGAGAUGUGGAGGAAUACCGGUGGCGAAGGCGGCCCCUGGGACAAAGACUGACGCUCAUGUGCGAAAGCGUGGGGAGCAAAC